CCCUCAUGCUGUACAGCAGCGGUCCCCGACCUUUUUUGAGCCACAGACCGGUUUAUGUCAGACACGGACCGGCCUUUAAGGUAUCGCGGAUAAAUACAACCACAUAAAAUGAUCCAACCAAGACAAAAACUGUGGUAUUUUGUAAAUAUAAUAAUAAACGUGAAUGUACUGUGUAAUUGUGUAACUUUAUUAGCAGCGUCCUCCUGAAAAUGCGCCAAUAUUGACAGUAACAUCCUCCUCUCUGCCGCUUAAUGCUUUCUGGUCGCUAUGGUAACGUGUAAAUAUUUCUUUCAAAAUAAGACACACCACUACAACAAGGGAAAGACUCAGGGAAACCGAGUUAAUGAUAAAACCCCUGAAAACCAUAAAUUUCACACCGGAGCCUUAACUCUGUGGCCCGGUACCAAACGACUCACGGACCGCUGCUGUACAGAACCUGUGAUGUCCAGACGGUGUUCCUCUGGUGUUCUGCUGUGAAAACUUUUGGGCUUAGGGAUUAACAUAGUUGCCAUGGUGUCCUUUCUUCUCUUAUUUGUUGUGUGUGAUCAGGACAAUUCUGGAGAAGAUGGGCCUGCAGGGGAAAGUCACCCCCUUGCAGGCCAGAAGACACGAGAUAACUUUAAAGAAUACAAAGAUUGCAAGUAUCCAGGCUCAGGAGAGGGGGUCAGUGGGAAGCCCACUGCUGCUACUUGGCCCUGGUUUGCCCUCAUGGAUGAGGUGAUAGGAUAGAUGCCUUCCAUUAAGCCUCCUGUCCUAAUUUCCUCUCUCUCCAGGGCCAAGCGCAGCAGUGGGUGACCAAAACGACAGCGAUGACGAAGCGACUCAGCCACCUACGACAGGGAGAAAGAGGAAAAGAGACGGGGAUGAUGAGCUGCUAGACCUCAUCAGAGAGGACAUGAGGCAGCAAAGAGAGGCUGAGGAGAGGAGAGCAGGGAGAGGAUGGACAGACUGUUUUCACUUCUAGAAAGAUUAGUUCCCAAAUGAGUUAUGUAUUGAGAAAUUUAUUUAUUUGAAUAUAUUUGUUACAUUGUUAUAUGUGUUGCAUUAGUUUAAAGGUUUUAUGUUAUUAAUAAAUUGAUUCAAACAAACAGUAAUUGUCACUGAACUCAAUUUGAUUUACAGGCAUUUGUAACACGUAUGAACAUAACGCUAACUUUGAACAAUAUUACUUGGAUAUUUAUUUGAUAGCAAUAAAGUAAAUAACAAUAACAAUUAAACAAGAAUAUUUCAAAUACACAGUAUGUAAAGAUAAAAAACAAUAUUUUCAGUUGUUCACACAGGAUCAACCUGAGUGACCUGUUCCUGGACCGUUUCUUUAACAACUGUAAUAGAUUACAGGAAGUCUCUGGCAGUGUUUUUUUUUUUUUUUUUUUUUUUUUUUUCAGCAGUGUUGCUGAAUCUGCCCGAGCAAGAUCAGACGUGGAUGAGCUGCUGCAACUGAGACCUGCGGUUUGUCUUUUCUGGUGGGCAAGUGGAGAAUCACACAGGGUGGUCUGCAAAGAGAGCUUUAGGAUGCUUCCUCCCACUGUCCACUGCAUCGUCCAUCCACAGGGUUUGCAGGGCUCACUCGUGGCUGCCACACCACUAAGAUGUUUACAGAAAUAUGCAAGCAGGAGAUGGUGGAUGCUAUAUUAUUAGUAUAAUACUUGUAACUCUGUAGCAGACAACAGUUUGAUAAAGUGCUAUGUAAAAAAACAAACAAACAAAAGAUUAGAUUCUAUACGUUUCAAAGAUAUUUAGUUUAUAUAUUUUAUAUGAUACAGUACAUGUGUGAGAAUGACCGAUGUUGUGCCAAAAAAAUGAUCGUCUGCCAAAAAACGAUUUCCGGUUUUUGCCCUAAACUGAUUGCUCGUAUUUAACCUGCUAUGAAUAACUUGUUGGUCUAUAAUAUGUGAAACAUGUCAAAUGUGUCCCUCAUUGGUGAUAUCAAGUCACUUUGAGCCACCAGCAACAUUCCUGUAACAAGGUAGAAGCUGCAAUCAGUUUUUGGCAGUGACUUUUAUAUAUCCUUUAUUCAUCCAGUUAAAAAAAAAAAAAUCUUAUUGACAUUAGAAAUUUAUUUUUUAAGAGUAAUCUGGCCAAGAGGACAGCAGACAGCGCAACAAAUAUAUCGAUUGUACCUACAUUAUAACCAGAGUUAUAAAGAUACUUUAACAACAGGUAAUUAUUGUAUAUAUAAAACCCCUUUGUAAACCAUGUUCACCGAAGUCUAUUUACCAACAUACAUAAAGAUAUUACACAUAUUACACUCGGAAACAUUGGAAAUCAGUUUUGGCAGGCGAACACUUUUUUGGCACAACGCUGGCAAUAUUUCAAUUAUCCGUGUAAUUAGCUAAGUAAUUCCUAAAUGCGUGUAGAUUAAAGGAAAUUAUUUUACCUGGACAUGUUUGUCUCUGAUGAGCCUAAGGUACAAAACGUGCGGGCGACGACGAUAAGGUUUUUCUAGCUCCUCAAAAAUUAAAAUUGUCCAAACAACAGAGCGACAUUUCUGGGUCCAUUUUAAAGUUUUCGCGCUGUGGCGCUAGCGUCCGGAAAAACACGCAAGUAAGGGCGGAGUUGCAGGCUAGGAGGCUGUCCACAGCCCAUCUGUUAUGUUGGAUACUCAUUGUUUGUUCAAUAAAGUUUCUAUGGAGAAAAAAAGGGGGCUGUCCAAGCCGCUCACUUCCUGACUACCCGUCCGUCUAAGGACACUACCUUGUGACGUAGGUAGGUAGUGUCCUUAUGAGCAUCCUUCCCCUGAAUUCGGACACAGCCAUUGUCACAUCUUAUAUCUCGUAUAAAAAUAUAUCGAUAUUUUUUUUAAAAAACUCGAUAUAUCGCCCAGCUCUAGGACUAAUAAAGGUAUAUCAAUCAAUCAAUCAACUAGGGAAGCAGAUGCCAUUUCGGUUGCCAAAGCAAUAUGUAAGAAUAUCAUCUCGGAACACGGGAUUCCAGAGACUAUUUAUAGUGAUGAUGGUCCACACUUUGUAAAUGAAGUGAUUGGAUUAAUGCCACAGCAUCUAGGGAUAACACUAAAACAUCAUUGUUCAUAUCACCCACAAAGAGAACUAACGGCACAGUAAAGCUAAGACUUAGGAAGUCAAUGGAAGAGACAGGCAGGACAUGGUUAGACUGUAUAGAACUAGUUAAGAUGUACAUGAGGAUUACUCCAACAGAGAACGGUCUGACUCUUUGAGAUUAUAUAUGGUAGAGUAUUUAGAGUUUUAGUCUUCUGUAGUGAUGAUAGAAACGCAGAAGAGAGAGCACAUUAGCAGAUUGGAUGCUCAAAAUGUUUAAAAGUAAAGAAGUCAUGAGAACAAAUGAUCUGCCAGAUGAUUCUGUUUCUCCUCAGGAGCAGAGUCUGAAGUCUGGAGAUUGGAUGUUGAUAAGGCCAUGGAGAGGAAGUGCUCCGUUCUUACUGCAGGUUUUCAUAGAAAGUAUAGAGAAUAACACCCUCCCUCCUACUCUUACUCAGGGUCUCAUAACACUUAUUCCAAAGCCAAACAAAGACUUACUUCUUAUUGAUAAUUGGAGACCCAUCUGUCUGCUCAAUAAUGACUAUGAGAUUAUGGCUUUAGUACUUGCUAACAGAAUUAAAGCAGGGCUAUAGAGUGUGACCAAAUUUUUCAGUUGUGCGACUAAAAAAAAUAUUUGGUCGCAUCUGUGCAACCAACUGUUCCGGUAACAAAAAAACAAAAAAAAUCUCUGCAACUCUCCGUGUGGUCAACAACAGACACACAUUAUGCCCUAUCGUGGACUAAACCAAUCAGAGAUAGUAAGGGGCGGGACCUCUCUGAUUGGCCGUGGUCCAGUUGAAAGUGCAGGUGGAAGAGGGAGGUGAGUAGCUUGAAUAAAGCGAUAUCGAUUCAUUAAAUCCUGAAUUGACUUUUAAAUAUAACUGUGUUUUGCCAGAAACGGCAGAUUCUCAGAUUAAAGCUCACAAAACUAUUUCAACAACCACCAAACAGCAAAUGAGAGCAGGUACACGGAUUCCACACAAAGACGUAAACACAGAGCGGACCCGACGCAUCAGAAUCAGCUUUGUCUUUCUCGGCUUUCUCACCCGACGGCCCAAACACGGACACGCUGUCGGAGCUCAGCGAUUCUGAUGCGUCGGGUCCACGCUGUGUUUAUGUCUUUUUGCGCUGAUUCUGAGCUGCAGGUUUUGUCUCUCUCCAACCAAAAUUCACUGAGCCAGCAGCAAAAGAAGCAGCAAACUGAGCUUCACGUUUGAUCAAUGUUGUCAUGCGUUUUGCAGUUUUGCUUCCACGACUAUUAAAAUCACACUUCAUGCACAGCUCUCUCUCUCUCUCUCUGUACUUCAAGAACAGUUUCCUGUCUCAAAUCUCUGUUUUCUGCAUUAUUCAUCCGCUUAUUAACCACCAGCCUACCAUUGUUUACAGCGCUGUCGGCCGCUGUCUUUUUCUUUUCUUCACGUAAACGACCUCGGACAAGAAAGCCUAUUUUUUCUGCUGUUCAAUACUGAAGAAAUUUAAACUUUAUAUACUUUAUAUGCAGAACAUUGCAGAAUAUUUUUAAGGUUAUCUGCUAUAAAAAGUCAGGCCAGAAAAAUCUCCUUCAUGUUUUUCUGUGUUUUAUUCUCAGUUACUUUCACACAAAGGCAUCUGCUGUGAUGUUCACAAUUCUGAUGAAAUCUCACAUGUAUCAGUACUGUGAGAUUUCAUCAGAAUUAUAAUAUUUCUGACUGUCUGAGGAAAACUGAAUCGAAUCAGGACUUUGAGAACCGGAAUCGAAUGGAUUAUAGAAAUCAGUGAUGAUACCCAGCCCUAGUGAGCAGCCUAGGCCUGACAGAAGUGGAUGUAGCUGUGGGUAAUAAGAAAAGAUGAAAAGAACUAGAAAGCGAAAAUUUCAGAAGAAAUUUUAUGUGUGCCUAUGCCGCUGCUAAUCACUGUAGUUUGCCAUUCAUACGGCUACAGAGAGCAAAACUCAGCAGAGCAGCCAUUCUCCACCAUGAAUUAUGAUAAAACAAACACACUUUCGCGCCGCCACAGAUGACAGCUUACAGUUUUGGGUAAAGAUGAAGUGACUUUGUACAGCCCCGAUUUGCAGACGCUGUGCACACAGGUUCAUGAGCAGAAGUCCCAUUGUACCACGGCAGACCCAACAAUGUUUGCAUGAACACGCUUUGAAGCAUUAUGUUAUGGACCACUUUUCACACAUGGUUGGUGUACCCACACAG
ensembl:lncRNA